AUACCUAUGGAGAGGGCAUUUUGUCGGCUGAAACAGUCCCAUCUCCGUCCUGCGUCGCCGCUCCAUGCGGACAGUCGAUGCGGGGUGGAUCUCAAGGCUCGCGUCGUGUCUYGCACCGCAUCCACCGAUUUUCGGUGUUUGGGCAGGCGAACCACAUCGCGUCGCCCGUCGCCUAGGGUAYGGAACAUCACGUGGGUACGCGGCCUCGGCCGCCGAUCGCCACAACGAUGCAUUCUACGCUUUUUGCGAACGACGGUCGGCUCGGUCUCCGCCCAUGCACUCGUGCAUCGG
rnacentral:misc_RNA from 1 species